rnacentral:lncRNA from 1 species
GGGCUUGAAUCGGCUCAUGAAAAUGCCUAAAGCACAUAAACUGUCCAACAACGCCCAUUUCAAGGUCUGAUCUUCGGAAACAAGGAAUGAAUCGGGGACUUGAGCGGCAUGGCUCCGCUUUGAUGUCGGUCUCUUUCUCUUUCCGGCUUCGUGAUAGAUCUUAGGCCAAUCAUCACAGGGAGUUCUCUUUAACUUAAGCUCCGGCUAAGUCAAGACUUCAGAUGGUUGCGUAAAAGAGCAACGAAGCCAAGGAAGAUCGAGAAAGAUCCAGAGCGGCU